rnacentral:rRNA from 1 species
UACGAAGGGGGCUAGCGUUGUUCGGAAUUACUGGGCGUAAAGCGCACGUAGGCGGAUCGAUCAGUCAGGGGUGAAAUCCCGGAGGCUCAACCCCGAGACUGCCUUUGAUACUGGUAGAUGUGAGUAUGGAAGAGGUGAGUGGAAAUUCCGAGUGUAGAGGUGAAAUUCGUAGAUAUUCGGAGGAACACCAGUGGCGAAGGCGGCUCACUGGUCCAUUACUGACGCUGAGGUGCGAAAGCGUGGGGAGCAAACAGG